rnacentral:rRNA from 1 species
CACGUAGGGGACGGGCGUUGUCCGGAUUCAUUGGGCGUAAAGCGCGCGUAGGCGGCCUCGCAAGUCGGUUGUGAAAUCCCGGGGCUCAACCCCGGGACUGCGUCCGAUACUGCGAGGCUGGAGGUAGGUAGGGGAGAUCGGAAUUCCUGGUGUAGCGGUGAAAUGCGCAGAUAUCAGGAGGAACACCGGUGGCGAAGGCGGAUCUCUGGGCCUUACCUGACGCUGAGGAGCGAAAGCGUGGGGAGCGAACAGG